rnacentral:rRNA from 1 species
GGGUGUGAUCAUACCAACAUUGUUGCACUAAAUCCCAUCARAAAUCCAUAAUUAAGCGUGCUUGGGCUAGAGGAGUAGUGGAACAKACAACCUUCUUUAAAGUUAUAAUGUUACACCCU